AGCAAGAGCCACAAAGCCCAGACAUCUUUGCUCAGCUCCUCAUCUUUUAAUCUGAGUCCACAUGGAGCCCACAUGCAGAACCUGGAUCUGAGGAAACAGCACCAGGAAGCGACAAAUUGAGCUCUGGACUUGAGACACCUGCAGACGGUUAGCACUCUAUAUUCGCCCACCAGGACAGGUGCCAGGAAUGCACACCCUAGAUGUCUCGCGGACACCCUAAGACCACCUAAACCCCCGACCUCAUACUUCUUUAAUUUUGCCGAAUAAAUCUUUUUAUUCCUUUUGUUGA